CGGAGCAGGGUGGUGGGUGGACUGGACGCUCCAGGAUGAAGGGGAGGGCUACAUUAGCUCCCAUCUGACUGAGUUAGUGGCUGCUACGCCGGGAUGCUGCACCCUAUUGACCCCUACUGGAUAUCGAACUCCGGAAACAGAAGAGACGACUAAAACUUCAAGAGUCAUUACUUGCUUCGGCAGUGGCUCGAGUAACAAGAAAGAGGCGUUGUUGUGUAGCAUAUUCUUGCCUGACACGAGCCUCUUACACUGGACUGUUAACUGCACGCCAUUCUCUGCGAUAAGGUGUGCAGUAAUCAAAUCGGCUCGUGUUGCAUGAUCUCAGACUCCCACCACAGAAACUGCAUGCUUCCACCUGUGUGCCACAUCAGUCAUACAGGGAAGAGGUGGGCUGUGGGCACGUCACUAGUUCACCCCCCUCCAUACCGGGGAAAAAAAAAAACCUAUUGAUGUACCUACAAAACCUUAUA
rnacentral:lncRNA from 1 species